AUCCUCGAACAGUUAUUCGGUUUGCUUGUUUGCCUAGUAACGGCGAGUGAAGCGGCAACAGCUCAAAUUUGAAAUCUGGCCCUCUUUGGGGGUCCGAGUUGUAAUUUGCAGAGGGUGCUUUGGCAUAGGCGGCGGUCUAAGUUCCUUGGAACAGGACAUCACAGAGGGUGAGAAUCCCGUACGUGGGCGCCUGCCUUUGCCGUGUAAAGCCCCUUCGACGAGUCGAGUUGUUUGGGAAUGCAGCUCUAAAUGGGAGGUAAAUUUCUUCUAAAGCUAAAUACUGGCCAGAGACCGAUAGCGCACAAGUAGAGUGAUCGAAAGAUGAAAAGUACUUUGGAAAGAGAGUCAAAAAGCACGUGAAAUUGUUGAAAGGGAAGCGCUUGCAGCCAGACUUGCCCGCAGUUGCUCACCCAGGCUUUUGCCCGGGGCACUCUUCUGCGGGCAGGCCAGCAUCAGUUUGGGCGGUUGGAUAAAGGCCUCUGUCACGUAUCUCCCUUCGGGGUGACCUUAUAGGGGAGGCGCAAUGCAACCAGUCCGGACUGAGGUCCGCGCAUCUGCUAAGAUGCUGGCGUAAUGGCUGUAAGCGGCCCGUCUUGAAACACGGACCAAGGAGUCUAACAUCUAUGCCAGUGUUUGGGUGUCAAGCCCGGGCGCGCAAUGAAAGUGAACGGAGGUGGGAACCCCUUGGGGCGCACCAUCGACCGAUCCUGAAGUCUUCCGAUGGAUUUGAGUAAGAACCUAAGCUUUUGGGAACCCGAAAGAUGGUGGAACUAUUGCUUGAAUAGGGGGGAAGCCCAAGGAAAAUCUUGGUGGAAGGUCCCGAACGGUUCUUAAAGGCAAAUCGAUCGCCAAAUUUGGGCUAAGGGGGCAAAAAAUAAUUCGAACCUUCCCGGACUUGUUUCUAACCGUUCUUCCU
rnacentral:rRNA from 1 species